GCCUCCCAGAGUGCUAUUAUUACAGGCGUGAGCCACUGCACCCAGCCUCCUUCUUAUGACUCUUAAUGUCCUAUAAGCCAUUUUUAAAAGUAGCAGAUACCUGAGCCCUCUCAAUUAUCCCCAGUUCUUACUCGUAAAGAACUCUGUGACCCAAAGUCAUUUUUUAAAAGUACCACUAAUAUUGGGAUGUGCAGUCAAACCUGCUGUAUUCUGGACCUUCCCUGCCCUGUGAGAGCUCUACAUGCAAGACCCAAGUAAGGCUGUCAGCUCAUGUGCAGUGGCAUAAAAACUACCAUGUGAUACUGUUUCAUGCUGUGGCCAAUGCAUUUCUAUCAAUGAUGCAUCACUGGCUUGACAGCAAUGUUACUGUUGUAUACUAGGGGCAGGUAAAUUUUUCUAGCAGAAAUGGUAUUUGGACCAGAAGUUUUUAUAUGAAGAAUUUGAUUAAAGAAAUAUUAUUAAGUAGCCCUUCUUUCUAAAUAUACUUUCAUGCUAAAACAAAAUAACUCAGAAAAUAUGAAAACAGAACUCUAGAACUCUUUGAAGUUAGCAAGUAAAGCAUACAUACAUGGUGUCUUAGUAACUGUUUCCAUUAUGCAGAUUCUAAGAAUCUUUCCUGGACAAGACUAAAGAAUUCCCAGUGGCAAACCAUGAUCUGCUGCUCAGCUCAAAUUGUGGGUCCCAGAGCAGCCAUAUGUGAUAGUUACUUGUAAUUAAGGACUUCAUCUAAACUUGAAGAUAAGCUUUCCUUGCUGAAAUUAGAUAUUACUUCCUAUUUAACUUAUUUAGAUAAAUUAUUUUUAUUUUAUAAAUAGAAUACAUACUUUAAUAGUUUAGUAGAAUAUCUCUUAAUUUUGUAGCUCCUUCAGUCAAUACCUUUGCAUUCCUAUUUUAUAUUGCAUUAUAUUAAUAGUUACUGGUCAACAUUAUGUAAUGAUGUUCCUGAGUCCUUUAGUGUCUUUGCCUUACUUACUUGAUUCUCCUUGUUUGCAGUAGACUGUUGCUGUUUUCCUGUAAUGCGUUGUUCUUCUCCUGUUUAUUUAUACUAUCUAGCAAGGCCAUGGAGGAAUUUGGUAGACAUUUGUUAAUGAGUAGCUAGCCAUCCUGAGUUAAUAGACAAUGAUAUGAAUUGAUGGACUCAUUGAGAAGGUGCCAUAUUGUAUCAUUUCUGAUUACAAAUAAACCAAAAAAUUGAACUAAGAGUACAUAAUAGGUUAACAUUUCAUGUAGCUAAAUUAAGAGAGGCCAAAAUAUCAAAGGGAAAGUUGAAAGUCACAAGGAACCACCCUGGGUCUUAGCUCCAUCAACUGUGUCUCAUGGGAUGGCAGGUAAAUUAGUUAUUGUUCUUAACAGCCUAGAUUCUUUACUUGAGAAGACAGGGAUAAUAAAAAUCAGGAUAACAUCUGAUCUUCAGGGCGCUGUGAGGGUAAUAAUGUUAGGCAAGUAUCCAGAGAGUGCCUGGCACAAAACAGCCACGCAGGUGCUGCCUGUUGCUUCCUUCCUGAUGGAGGGUUAUUGAUAAACAUCGUGCAUAAUAAGAUUUCCAAGUAAGCCUGUUUCCUCUCAAUUAUUAAUGAUUACCUGGAGUUCUGUUAAGGAGAAUCAGAGAUCUCUGGACAUGAGUUUGGGUCAUAAGAAAGCGGUGGUGAGCUGUGGCUGGCAAGCCUGUGCUCACAGGGAGGAUGUGUGAGUUCAAUGCUAGCUUCUCUUGGGGCAGACGUAAGGCAUUUGAGCUCAGUCUUUCUUUGAGCUCGACUGUAUCGCUUGAUUUAGGUUUGCUGUUCUGGUUUUUAAAAUUUAGUAAUAGAGAAGAGAGUACAUAAGUAGAAGACCAAAACUGUAUUGUUACCAGAGUUCCAACCGCUGCUGACUUUUCUGGCUCUACAAAAGAGGGUCAAUGAGAUAUAUCUCCAUGAGAGGCAACAUCCAAAUCAUCUGCCAGGUGAUCCCACCUUGUCACAAAGGAUUGUGACUGACAGCAGAAAGAAAGCAGGCAUGAGAAAACGAGAUGCAGUCAAGAGCUGACGAUCACAUCAAAAAGGAAAGAAAGAUGUUCUAUACAUUCAGUGAGAAGUCAGCCUGUGUUUGCAUAAGCAUUUCUGUCACUGCCAACCCAGCUCUGAUGACAGAGUGUGAGCUUCUGUGCUGCUGGUACCUUUGGGAUUCGUGCUGACUCGUGACAAGCCUAGGAGGGCCACAGAAAGAAGGAUGUAAGGAUGUAAGAAGGAUGACCUUCCAUGUCUUCAAGAAUAGUUGCGUUUUAAGAAACAAUGAGACUUCCAUGUCCUGAUGGCAGUCGAUGUAGAAAUUCCUGGCAUUUGGCAACAGCAUGGAAUCACAUUCUGUAGUAAUACAAAGAGUCUGGCUUCUGGCUUCUCAGGUAGAUUCAACAAUGUCAGCUCUCCUGGUAACUGCUCUAAAAAUACAUUUUAGAGUCAUAAGAAGCCCGGUUUUGACCCCUCACUCUCUUACCUGUGUAGACACCCAGAUAUGCUCCAUGCACUCUUGGGUGUGAGAGUGAUUCCCUGUUCUCCCAACCCUUCCCCAGCCACGCCCUUUGUGCUGCUCCGCAAUGCUUGGCUCGGGAGGAAACUGUAUUUCCCAGAUGCCCUUGCCAGCGAGUUCCUGUGACAUCUGCUCAGUGGAUCCAAAGGCAGGUCAGGGGAAAGGCGCUGUCAUUUUCUCUUUUCUACCCUUCCCUCUCUCCUGCUUCUGGAAGUGUCUGUGAUCCCUUCUCCAUGCCACUCCUCCGUGACUGGGAGGCAGUGCCUUGGUGGUUUCUACCCACUCAGUCGGCCCAUCCUCAGGGGUCCUGGCAUGCACUCAGCACUCAGAAGUUCUGAUAAAGUACUUUCUUGAGUUUCCUGAGUCCUGGGGGCAGUAGCUGUUUCCUACAGUUUACCAGGUGAUCUAAUCUCAUUCUAUCCCUUUUUUCUUUCUUUUUUUCUCUUUCUGCUCUGCUAACAUUUUGUAACAGAUUUCUUAUAUUCAGUGCACUCUUAAGAAGUACCUAAUACAUCUUGUAUGUGGUGGGAUUAAUAGUACUUUAAAUAGUACACACAACCUGCCUGUAAAAGGCCUGAAAAGAGCUGUGAAAUAAUUUAUACUCCUUUUCUUAUUGAGUCCACAUUUAGGAAUCUAUCCUGUGAAUGAAAUCAGAGAUGGUCCUGGAGAUUUUAUGAGCAUGGGUUUUCAUUGGUGGGUUAAUUUUUAAUAACAGAAAAAGGAAUUACUUGUAGAACAAUAGGAACCAUUAAAAUACACUCAUACAAAUUACAAUACACAUACACAUUAAGAUACUGUACCAUUAUUAAAAAUCACAUUUUCAAAAGAAAAUGUUCAUAGCAUAAGCGAAAAAACAGUGUAUUAGCCUGUCCUCACACUGCUCUAAAGGACUGCCCAAAACUGUGUAAUUAAUAAAGGAAAGAGGUUUAAUUGACUCACAGUUCUGCAUGGCUGGAGAGGCCUCAGUGAACUUACAAUCAUGGUGGAAGGGGAAGCAAACAUGUCCUUCAUCACAUGAUGGCAGCAAGGAGAACUGCCGAGCAAAAGGGGAAAAAGUCCCUGAUAAAACCAUCAGCUCCCCUGAGAACUCAUUCACAUCAUGAGAACAGCAGGCAUGGGGGUAACUGGCCUCAGGAUUCAACUACCUCCCACCGGGUCCCUCCCGUAACACAUGGGGAUUAUGGGAACUACAAUUCGAGAUGAGAUUUGGGUAGGGACACAGCCAAACCAUAUCAAACUGUAUACAAAAGAGUAUGAGGGAAUGUUGUAUAAGGGAAUAAACAUUUUAAUUUUUUAAAAUUUAUUUUAUUUUGAGAUGGAGUUUCACUCUUGUUGCCCAGGCUGGCAUGGAAUGGUGCAAUCUCUAGUCACCGCAACCUCCACCUCCCGGGUUCAAGCUAUUCUCCUGUCUCAGCCUCCCAAGUAGCUGGGAUUAUGUACCACCACACCCAGCUAAUUUUGUAUUUUUUAUAGAGGCGGGGUUUCUCCAUGUUGGUCAGGCUGGUCUCGAACUCCCGACCUCAGGUGAUCCACCCACCUCGGCCUCCCAAAGUGCUGGGAUUACAGGCAUGACCCAUCGUGCCUGGCCGGGAAUAAACAUUUUUAUAAACACCACUUUAUAGGUAUGAUCAAAGAAACAUUUCUAUUAACACACCUUUACAGGGAAUGCAGUGGAAAGAAAUCAGGCAAGUUUCUAUUGGGGUGAUUUUUAUUUUCUUUUCUGUGUUUAUUUUUGAAAAUUUAAAGAAAUGUCCACCAUGACUAUUUUUUAAUAAGCAAAAGACAAUUAAUACAUUUUAAAAGAAUAAUAGUUCUUAUUAUGCCACAUAUAAUAAUAAAUCCCAUUUGGAUAUAAGAUCUAAGAAAGCCAACCAAAAUCCUUUCAAUCUUGUAUAAUAAUGGAAGAAAACUAGAAUGACAUUCUGUAAUCCCAAAAGAUAAAAGAAUAAAAAAGAUUUUCAACAAUGAUUAAUUUGGAGAUAAAACACAAAUGUGAUAAAUGUAAAAAGAUUCUUUAGAACAAGGUGAUUUUUAAUUUACAAAAAAAUUAUUAUAACCUGUCAAAUUGGCAUUAUAAAACUGCAUUUGUGGGAAAAGGGCCGUUGCCAUAAUAUUGGUGACAAUAUAAAUUGCCAUUAAAGCUUUUUUGCAGUACCCAUGGCAAGUACCCAUCAAUAUUUUGUGUGUACAAAUCUUUGGGCAGUAAUUUUACUUCGAGGCAUCUCUCUAAUGGAAAUAUUUGUGUAAAUGUGCUACAAUCCAAGUUGAAGUAUACUUCCAUUAUGCAUCUUCUCAGUGGACGUUUAUUGAGAGCCUAUGAUGUGGCAGACAUUGUUCUAAUAAAGGACACAUUAGAGCAUACCAGAGAAAAAUCUUACAUGAAAACAGUAAACAGUAAGAAAUACAUGAACAAGAUUAUUCCAGAGGGUGAUGGGUGCUGUACAGAAAAUAAACCGAGAAGGUAUAAAAGAUAUUGACUAAGGAUAAAUUAGAUUGUGUAGAACAGGAGCUCUAGAAAGACCUCACCAAGGAAGUAACCUUGGAGCGAGUGAUGAGACAGCAGGAACCACCACGCCAAUACCUUGGGACAGGACAUUCCACAGAGAUGCAGAGACAAGGUUGGCUUAGCCCAGGCAUGGAAGAAAGGCCAGGGGCACAAAGAUUUGGUAUAAGAAGUUCCAGAGGAAGACAAAGACAGGUAGUAAAUCACGUAAGAGUCCACGGGCUAUAGUAAAAAGCUUGAAGUUGAUGUACAUAUUUUUGAUUUUGAAACAGUAAAAAAUUAGGGGAAAAUAUUUCAACAUUCAUCAGUAGGGGAAUGGUUAAAUACAUUACUGAAUAUAAUCAUCUUGUAAAGUACUGUCUAGACAUGAAAAAAAUAGAAAGCUCUGUAUUUACUGACAUGGAAGAAUGUGAAUCAUGCUAUUAAAUGAAAAAGCACAUUACAGAACAAUACACUUACAAAAUACAAUAUCAAAAUAUACAUAUACACACAGAUAAAGGUGAAAUUCAGAGGUGGGGAUGUGGGACUUUGACUUUUUACUUUAUACACUUUUGUGUGAUUUUUUUAAAUUAUGGAUUUAUUUUAUUAUUGAUAAAAUAUACAAAGGUUACAAUACUCCUGAUUGUAAAAAAAAAUGCUUAGUAAAGUAUAUUUAGAAAACAGGGAAAUUGGAACAGUUUUUAGCCAAAGAAAAUCCCACACUACAUAUUGGCAAAAAAAAAAAAAAAAGAGAGAGAGAGAGAGAGGGAGAAGAGAGAUUUCUAUUCUAAAAAAUGCCUUAGGGCUUGUAGUUUCUUAUAACUUCUGUGACUACCUAUGGCGUAUAAGUAUUAGAUUGUAUUCUACAAAUUGACAGCCCAGGAUCAUAUUCCUGGUUGCUUUGUUUUUUACACAAAUAUCUUUAUCUGAACUCUGGCUCAUUCUGGAAAUGUAAGCCUCUCCUCCCUCUUCCUGAUUCCCCUUCACACCCCACAACCAUGUCAGUUGUGCAGCCAUUUUCUGGUUUAAAUUUCAGAACACAUGAGAGGGCCCAGCUCGCCGCAUGUUAAGAUAAUCCUUUAAAGGUUGCUGUCUGGCCAUGUGAGCUUGCAAGAUAAGGCACCGAGCGUGGGGCUUUCUUCAUUUGAAAGAGUAUUUUGAGAACCUUCUUUGAUGUUUGAAGCCCCUUUUCUUCUGACCUCCCACUUGCCAAGUAGAUACUUUCUUUCUUUCUUUUAUUUUAUUUAUUUUAUGUUUUUAUUUGGGGGACAUUUUACUCCCAGGGUAGUUAUAGUCAAAAGGAAGAAAAGUUUGGAAUUUCUUCUGUUUGAACACCACUGUGUAAUUGGAAGGCGCAAGUCUCCACGACACUGAUGACAACUCAAAAAAGCUCAAAUUAAGGAAAAGUCCAGUUGAAAGGUCAAGGUAUGGAAACAGUACAGAUAAUUAUUUGGGUAUUAUUUUAAAGAGCAAUGCAUUGGUGAAAUAUUCAUCAUGAUUGUUUUUGGAUACAUUGAAUACCAGUUAUUUAUAUUCUUGAAUCAUACCAGUGAAUGUCUGUGUAGAUGGUAUUAUCAAGUCUGGGGUUUGAUUUUACCCCUCUUACAAAUCAGUGAGCCUGCUACUGUAUCAGGCUGCUGGUGGAAGACGUGAGUCUUGGGGCCAAAGGCAAAGGGCUUUAUUACACAGUGCUCAGCAGUGCAGCAGCUUGUGUGCAGGGAAUGAAGCAAUUGGCUCAGAGGGAACUUACUCAUGGGUGGAUUUGCAUCACAGCCGGUGAAUACUGAGCUGGGACUACUGUUAUAGCAAGCCGCAUGCAAGCCUUUUGUCUAGGGGAAGACCUUGCCUUAUCUCUUUAGGUUACCAGUUGCAUAAGCAACCCUGAGUAAUAGUCUGUUAAAAGCGGGCAGGACCUUUUGAUCUUGGCAAGUCCAGCAAGAUGUAUAGAAGGGAGAGAGGCCCAAAGAGGACUGUAUCUCCCAGUGAGUUGUAAUUUUAUAUCACAAUAUCUAAUAGCAUAUAAUCCUGUUAACGUAGUCAUGCAUAUUACAUAUGCAUUUCAAAUAAUCUUUUUAAAAGGUUUUUGUUAACUGAAGGCAUAAUAGUAACAAUGAUGAUGUCUUUGCUUCAUUUUUAAAAAGAACAAGAAAUAAUUUGGAAAAAGUAGCAUAGAAAUGAAAGAAGAAAAAUGUCACUUUUCUUGUGCUGUCAAGUUUGGAUUUAUAGUUCACUAUGAUUAAGUAUGGAAGAAUAAAUAGUUUUCAAAUAGACAUAUUUAUUAGCUACUAAAUGGAGGUAUAUUAAAUACAGGUACCUCGAUGGCAUAUGGGUUUGUAUAGAAAAAUACAUUUUUUUCCUACAGAAAGGGGGUUAGUAGUAACACAGAACUUCAGAUUCAACAUAGAAACCAAAUUGAAUUACAGCAGCAUCAAAAGAUUUUCAAAGAGGGGCUUUGGACAAUGUACUUUGAAUUGCCUCUGCAGAACACUAAUACAGACACGUGCCUGGGCAGGGGCAUGGAGGGCCAAGUGAAGCUAACCCUCUUUCCCAUAACUCAAGUCAGGGGAGACAAUUUUUUUU